GACGAGCGCUGGCGGCGUGCUUAACACAUGCAAGUCGAACGAUGAAGAAGAGAAACGCGAACUUCGGUUCAAAUUUCACUUCGGAUUAGUGGCAGACGGGUGAGUAACGCGUGAGCGACCUACCUCUUACAAAGGGAUAGCCUCGGGAAACCGUGAUUAAUACCAUAUGACACAUUCAUAAGGCAUCUUAAGAAUGUUAAAGCUACGGCGGUAAGAGAUGGGCUCGCGUCCCAUUAGCUAGUUGGUGAGGUAACGGCCCACCAAGGCGACGAUGGGUAACCGGCCUGAGAGGGUGAACGGUAACAUUGGAACUGAGACACGGUCCAAACUCCUACGGGAGGCAGCAGUGGGGAAUAUUGCACAAUGGAGGGAACUCUGAUGCAGCGACGCCGCGUGAGCGAUGAAGGAAUUCGUUUCGUAAAGCUCUGUUCUAUGGGAAGAAAAGGACUGUACCAUAGGAGAAAGCCCCGGCUAAAUACGUG
rnacentral:rRNA from 1 species